GGGCUCGUAGCUCAGUUGGUAGAGCACCGCGUUUGCAACGCGGGGGCCUCGGGUUCAAAUCCCGACGAGUCCA
rnacentral:tRNA from 1 species